rnacentral:tRNA from 1 species
ACCAGCAUGGCACAGAGGUUUGAGUGUCGGACUACGACUCUGAAGACCAGGGUUCGAUUCCCAGCUCAGCUA